GUACGUGCCCCGAUGUCCAUGAUAGCGUUGGGAAACCGGCGGUAAUACUGGAUGAUAUCUUCGGAUCAAAGGUGUGAUUCCGNCUUGGGAUCGGACCGCGUACUAUNAGCUUGUUGGUGGGGUAAUGGCCUACCAAGGCUGUGAUGGUUACCGGGUGUGAGAGCAUGGCCCGGCUCACUGGGACUGAGACACUGCCCAGAGCACCUACGGGUGGCUGCAGUCGAGAAUCUUCGGCAAUGGACGAAAGUCUGACCGAGCGACGCCGCGUGCGGGAUGAAGGCCCUCGGGUUGUAAACCGCUGUCAGUUGGAAGGAAGGGCCUGUGCAGAGCAGGUCUUGACCGAUCUUCAGAGGAAGGACGGGCUAAGUUCGUGCCAGCAGCCGCGGUAAGACGAACCGUCCAAACGUUAUUCGGUAUCACUGGGCUUAAAGCGUGCGUAGGCGGCCUGGAAGGUGAGAUGUGAAAGCCCACGGCUCAACCGUGGAAUUGCGUUUCAGACCGCCAGGCUUGAGGAAGACAGGGGUGUAGGGAACUUAUGGUGGAGCGG
rnacentral:rRNA from 1 species